CCAAUAGCGUAUAUUAAAGUUGUUGCAGUUAAAAAGCUCGUAGUUGAAUUUCGGGAUUGACGUGAUGGUCAUGCCUUAAGGGGUAUGAACUGUCACUGUUGAUUUCUCACCUUCUGGAGAAACUUGAUGUCCUUUAUUGGGUGUCUUGCGGAUCCAGGACCUUUACCUUGAAAAAAUUAGAGUGUUUAAAGCAGGCAUUUUUGCUCGAAUACAUUAGCAUGGAAUAAUAGAAUAGGACGGCAUGGUUCUAUUUUGUUGGUUUUUAGGAUCACCGUAAUGAUUAAUAGGGAUAGUUGGGGGCAUUAGUAUUCAAUUGUCAGAGGUGAAAUUCUUUGAUUUAUUGAAGACUAACUACUGCGAAAGCAUUUGCCAAGGAUGUUUUCAUUAAUCAAGAACGAAAGUUAGGGGAUCGAAGACGAUCAGAUACCGUCGUAGUCUUAACCAUAAACUAUGCCGACUAGGAAUCAGACGAUGUUAAUUUUUUAAUGACUCGUUUGGCACCUUACG
rnacentral:rRNA from 1 species